UACAGAGGUCUCAAGCGUUGUUCGGAUUCAUUGGGCGUAAAGGGUGCGUAGGCGGCGCGGUAAGUCGGGUGUGAAAUUUCGAGGCUUAACCCCGAAACGGCACUCGAAACUGCCCGGCUGGAGGGCCGGAGAGGAGAUCGGAAUUCACGGUGUAGCAGUGAAAUGCGUAGAGAUCGUGAGGAAGACCCGUGGCGAAGGCGGAUCUCUGGACGGAUAACUGACGCUGAGGCGCGAAGGCCAGGGGAGCAAACGGG
rnacentral:rRNA from 1 species